rnacentral:rRNA from 1 species
GUAGGGUGGGCAAGCGUUGUCCGGAAUUAUUGGGCGUAAAAGCGCGCGCAGGCGGUCCUUUAAGUCUGAUGUGAAAGCCCACGGCUCAACCGUGGAGGGUCAUUGGAAACGUGGGGGACUUGAGUACAGAAGAGGAAAGCGGAAUUCCAAGUGUAGCGGUGAAAUGCGUAGAGAUUUGGAGGAACACCAGUGGCGAAGGCGGCUUUCUGGCCUGUAACUGACGCUGAGGCGACGAAAGCGGUGGGGAGACAAACAGGUAUUAGACUACCCUGGUACGUCCACCGACCGUAAACGAUGAGUACUAAGUGUUAGGGGGGUUUUCCGCCCCCUUAGUGCUGCAGCUAACGCAUUAAGCACUCCGCCUGGGGAGUACGGCCGCAAAGGCUG